rnacentral:misc_RNA from 1 species
AACGCACGAGACCUGCGGACCUGCGGAGGGAUCAUUAAUGAGAAACUGCCCCUCGCGGGUAGAUCUCCCACCCUUUGUAAACUUACCUUUGUUGCUUUGGCAGGCCCGUCUCCGGACCGCCGGCUUCGGCUGGCCAGUGCCUGCCAGAGGAUUCUAAAACUCUGUCUGUCAGUGUUGUCUGAGUCUAUGUACAAUCGUUAAAACUUUUAGCAACGGAUCUCUAGAUCGGAAGAGCACACG